rnacentral:lncRNA from 1 species
GAAUAUCAGCCUAUUUAUUGAAAAUGGUUUGUUUAUGCAAUAAAGCUGAAUUUAAAGGCUCAGUAUUGUCCUGGUUAGCCAUGUGGAAGAUGUAUUAGAAUGUCUGUCUGGUUUUCAUGUGUUUGUGAUGCUAGAGAUUGAACCAGACCUCAGAGCCUGUACAUACAACUGAGCUACACCCACAGCUCUCUUCCCUUCUUGGUUUUAUGAGUUCUGCUGUUUAGUGGUGAGCUCUCAUCUGGUUUACUUCUCCAGUUCCUCCUAUUAACCAUCUUUUAGAUAUUUCCAAGUAGCUGAGAAAUUGAUGGGUAUUCCAUGUCCUAGGCUUUCUGGGUCAUGUUAACCAUCAUCCUAGUGUUAGUGCCCUGGAAAGAUUAGGGACUAGAACUGAGCCAGGAGUGAUGCACACCUGAGCCCAGUACUUGAGAACUAAAGGUGUAGGAUUCAAGGUUAGCUGUGAGGUAGAUCAACAGGUAAAGGCACCUGCCACUAAGUCUGACCUGAAUUUAAUCCUUUAAACACACAUAGUGAAAGGAGAAAACUAGCUCUCAAAAGGUGCCCUCAGACCUCCACAUACUUAUUAUAUCACAGACAUACACACACAUAAAGCAAAAUAUCCUUACACAUAAAAUAAAAAUAAAUCUUACAAGAAAAAAAAAAAAAAGACAAGCCUAGACUAUAGGAAAAAAAGCACAACCAAUAUCCACCAAAGAAGAUUAAUUGGAAAGACAUGAUAUGCAGAGUGCUCAUCUUCCUGUAAUUUCCAUUGUAGCUUAGAUCCUGGAUCUGGGUGUGUGCCUGAAGCCAUGGAUCCCCUGGACCAUCCUACAUUUAUUUUAAUGUGUCUAAUCUUCACCACUAUCCUGCCCCAGACCCCCACCUGUGUAUUUUAAAACUUUAAUUUUCUUUUUUUUUAAAGAUUUAUUUAUUUAUUUAUUUAUUUAUUAUAUGUAAGUACGCUGUAGCUGUCUUCAGACACUCCAGAAAAGGGCAUCAGAUCUCGUUACGGGUGGUUGUGAGCCACCAUGUGGUUGCUGGGAUUUGAACUCAGGACCUUUGGAAGAGCAGUCGGUGCUCUUACCUGCUGAGCCAUCUCUCCAGCCCAACUUUAAUUUUCAAAGGUGAUCCAAACUCUGACUUGGUGAAGAACACUCAGAAGGUCCAAGGGUCUGAAUUAUUUCUUAGUCUUGGGGAAGCAGAUUUGGCUUUGAGUGCGGAGUUGAUACUGAAAUUACAGACUCUUUAUUUUUAUCUAUUGGAAGGAUACCAUUUCUUCUCGGAAAGAUUGGGACAGAAGCAAGGCAGCUUUGUUGUCAAAAAUGAUUUACCUCUUAUCAAGAUUCUACCCUCAUUAAUUUCCUUAAAGCUGCCUGUCAGUUGAUUAAAAGCUGUUUCCGCUGCAAUUAUCUUAAAGUUGACUUCAGUGAUGUAGCACAAAGCAUCUAUCCUCAAAACGUUCCUCUCUUCAGAACAUUGCAGAAAAGUAGGAGGGGCAAGUUAAAAGUCAGAGGUGUCUCUGAUGUGAUUUGUCAGAGGAGGGGAGAACAAGAUACAAAAUUAAAAAUAACAUUAGAACUGCCAUCAGAGCCAUUCGUUCAGGAGAAUUUUUCCAUGACAGUCACACAGCUCUGAUGAUCCCCUCACACAUACUCACCCCACGGUGUCUCUCUUAGCAGAAUGGAGUCCAUACUACAUGUCUUCUCAAAAGAAAAUUGUGCUGUGUGCCUCCUGUAGGUAUUAAACUGAAACUCUUAGGACCCAGGGAGCUCUGAAUUAAGAGUUUAUUAGACUGGGCAUGUAGUUCAGCAACAGAGUACUUACUUGCCUAACAUGUGAGCAGCCCUAGUGAAUCACCAGUAGUGGAAGGGAAAGUAGGGUAUGUUUCCUCCACCACCUACAGCAAGGCUAGAUAGCAGUUUGAAAAAUGUCCCUAAAACCAAGAUCUAAGAGUGUUUUGUAACAAAAGAUAAGAGAAAGAAAAUGUAAAUUCACAUUGGACCUACAUUUUUAAAUAUGAGGAGCAGAAUUAUUCUGUGACACUGGAGAGUGGCUGUUGCAUCUGAAUUGGAGAAAUCAGUAGCUAACGAUGUUAGCCUUGGUGUUGAAUGUAAUAAGAAUGGAGUCAAGGUUUCAAUAUGCAUUCAGGAAUGUGAGAGAGGGUCUUUCAUUAUGUCUAAUUAAUGUUUCUCAUCACUUCCUUCCACCUCCCUCCACUCUUUUUCGAGAGAAGGUUUCUCUGUAUAGCCCUGGCUGUCCUGGAACUCACUUUGUAGACCAGGCUGGCCUCGAACUCAGAAAUUUUUGUUUUGUUUUGUUUUGUUUUGUUUGUUUGUUUGGUGUUGGGGGCUGUGGUUGAGACCAUCCUGCUAGGUAACCUAGGCUGGCCUUGAAUUCAUGAUCCUCCUGUUUUAGCUUCCUAAAUUCUGGGAUCACAAGUGUGUCCCAUCAUGCCAGGCCAACCCCUGCUUAUCAUUUGGUCUUAUCAUUUCCACUUCCAAAAUCUUUAUUGUGUAUGGCACCCAGGAGGCAUGGGUUGUUAGUUCCGUGAAUGUGUGUGUCAUUGAGUUCUGUGUGUUAUGUGCUUCCCAGUUCCUGCAUGUACAUAAUCUGUUCACUGCCACCGGUGUACACAGUAAACCAUAAUUGAGCAAAGGCCCCAGGGAGGAGCUUCUUUUGAAAACAGGGAGUCACUUAUUCAUUGUGAUUCCGCUAUUCUUGUGUUAACCAAAUAAAAAGAGGAAAAUUAGGGGACUGGAGAGAUGACUCAGCAGUUAAGAGCACUGACUGCUCUUCCACAGGUCCUGAGGUCAAUUCCCAGCAACCACAUGGUAGCUCAGAACCAUCUGUAAUGGGGAUCCUGUACUCUCUUCUGGUGUGUCUGAAGACAGCUACAGUGUUCUCACCUACAUGAAAUCAAUCAAUCAAUCAAUCAAUCAAUCUUU